rnacentral:rRNA from 1 species
AUACGGAGGGUGCAAGCGUUAUUCGGAAUCGCUGGGCGUAAAGGACGCGUAGGCGGGUUGGCAAGUCAGAUGUGAAAUCCUACAGCUUAACUGUAGAACUGCAUUUGAAACUGCUAACCUAGAGUAUGGGAGGGGGAGAUGGAAUUAGUGGUGUAGGGGUAAAAUCCGUAGAUAUCACUAGGAAUACCGAAAGCGAAGGCGAUCUCCUGGAACAUAACUGACGCUAAGGCGUGAAAGCGUGGGGAGCAAACAGGAUUAGAAACCCUAGUAGUCC